GACGAACGCUGGCGGCGUGCUUAACACAUGCAAGUCGAACGGAAAGGCCCUGCUUUUGUGGGGUGCUCGAUUGGCGAACGGGUGAGUAACACGUGAGUAACCUGCCCUUGACUUUGGGAUAACUUCAGGAAACUGGGGCUAAUACCGGAUAGGAGCUCCUGCUGCAUGGUGGGGGUUGGAAAGUUUCGGCGGUUGGGGAUGGACUCGCGGCUUAUCAGCUUGUUGGUGGGGUAGUGGCUUACCAAGGCUUUGACGGGUAGCCGGCCUGAGAGGGUGACCGGCCACAAUGGGACUGAGGUACGGCCCAGUCUCCUACGGGAGGCAGAAGUGGGGAAUAUUGCACAGUGGGCGGAAGCCUGAUGCAGCAACGCCGCGUGCGGGAUGACGGCCUUCGGGUUGUAAACCGCUUUCGCCUGUGACGAAGCGUGAGUGACGGUAAUGGGUAAAGAAGCACCGGCUAACUACGUG
rnacentral:rRNA from 1 species